GACGAACGCUGGCGGCGUGCCUAAUACAUGCAAGUAGAACGCACAGUUUAUACCGUAGCUUGCUACACCAUAAACUGUGAGUUGCGAACGGGUGAGUAACGCGUAGGUAACCUGCCUGGUAGCGGGGGAUAACUAUUGGAAACGAUAGCUAAUACCGCAUAAUAUUAAUUAUUGCAUGAUAAUUGAUUGAAAGAUGCAAUUGCAUCACUACCAGAUGGACCUGCGUUGUAUUAGCUAGUAGGUGAGGUAACGGCUCACCUAGGCGACGAUACAUAGCCGACCUGAGAGGGUGAUCGGCCACACUGGGACUGAGACACGGCCCAGACUCCUACGGGAGGCAGCAGUAGGGAAUCUUCGGAAAUGGACGAAAGUCUGACCGAGCAACGCCGCGUGAGUGAAGAAGGUUUUCGGAUCGGAAAGCUCGGUUGUAAGAGAAGAACGGGUGUGAGAGUGGAAAGUUCACACUGUGACGGUAUCUUACCAGAAAGGGACGGCUAACUACGUG
rnacentral:rRNA from 1 species